rnacentral:rRNA from 1 species
GUUGGGUGUUAAUGUGUGCGCCAUCAUUUCGUCGGAUUUCCGCUGGCGUCUGGUCGCAGAUCGGCGUCGCGUUUCCGACAAGUUUACCUUAAAUAAAUUAAAAUGCUCAAAAUAGGCGUCACCCUGAAUAUCAUAUUAUGGAAUAAUGAAAUAGGACUUCGGUUCAUUUUGUUGGUUAUUGAAUCGUGGUAAUGAUUAAUAGGGAUAAUCUCGGGGGCAUUCGUAUUUCUGCGGGAGAGGUGAAAUUCUAUGAUCGCAGAAGGACGCCCUAAAGCGAAAGCAUUUGCCAAGAAUGUCUUCGUUAAUCAAGAACGAAAGUCAGAGGAUCGAAGGCGAUUAGAUACCGCCCUAGUUCUGACCGUAAACGAUACCAUCUAGCGAUCCGAUAGGGUCAUCUAACCUUGUCGGGGAGCUUCCCGGAAACGAAAGUCUUUCGGUUCCGGGGGUAGUAUGGUUGCAAAGCUGAAACUUAAAGAAAUUGACGGAAGGGCACCACCAGGAGUGGAGCGUGCGGCUUAAUUUGACUCAACACGGGAAAACUCACCCGGUCCGGACACCGUAAGGAUUGACAGACUGAAAGCUCUUUCUUGAUUCGGUGGUUGGUGGUGCAUGGCCGUUCUUAGUUGGUGGAGUAAUUUGUCUGGUUUAUUCCGAUAACGAGCGAGACUCUAGCCUGCUAAAUAGAACACGGAUAACUAAUUCCAUAGGUCCGUGAUGCUUCUUAGAGGAAUAGCGG